UGGGGAAUCAUGGCCAAUGGGCGAAAGCCUGAACCUGCGACGCCGCGUGAGUGAUGAAGGUCGUAAGAUCGUAAAACUCUUUUCAGGGAUCUUAACGCACAACCGUCAACAACGGCUGUGUGUGACUCUCCCUGGAAGAAGCCCCAGCCAACUACGUGCAAGCAGAUGCGGUAAUACGUAGGGGGCGAGCGUUAUUCGGAAUUACUGGGUGUAAAGGGUAUGUAGGCGGCCCUUCAAGUCGCGAGUCAAAGUCCAGUGCUCAACGCUGGGUGUGCGCGCGAUACUGACGGGCUUGAGGGCUGGAGAGGUGAGCGGAAUUCCCGGUGUAGUGGUAAAAUACGUAGAGAUCGGGAGGAACACCAGCGGCGCAGGCGGCUCACUAGACAGUUUCUGACGCUAAGAUACGAAAGCGUGGGGAGCAAACA
rnacentral:rRNA from 1 species